AUUUAAAUAGCUUAAUUUAUAAGAGUACAAUAUUGAAGAUAUUGGGGUGAUAAAAAUUAUCUUUAAAUU
rnacentral:tRNA from 1 species